rnacentral:tRNA from 1 species
CGGGGCGUAGCGCAGCCUGGCAGCGCGCAUCGUUCGGGACGAUGAGGUCGGAGGUUCAAAUCCUCUCGCCCCGACCA